rnacentral:misc_RNA from 1 species
GAUGAAGAACGCAGCGAAAUGCGAUACGUAAUGUGAAUUGCAGAAUUCAGUGAAUCAUCGAAUCUUUGAACGCAUAUUGCGCUCUCUGGUAUUCCGGAGAGCAUGCUUGUUUGAGUAUCAGUAAACACCUCAACUUCCAUAUCUUUUUUGAAAUGGGAGUUGGACUUGAGUGAUCCCAACGCUUUUCCUCACCGAAAAGUGGCGGGUUACUUGAAAUGCAGGUGCAGCUGGACUUCUCUCUGAGCUAUAAGCAUAUCUAUUUAGUCUGCCUAAAAAACAGAUUAUUACCUUUGCUGCAGCUAACAUAAAGGAGAUUAGUUCUUGUGCUGACUGAUGCAGGAUUCACAAAGACAGGCUUCGGCCGACUUUGUAAACUCGAUCUCAAAUCAAGUAAGACUACCCGCUGAACUUAAGCAUAUCAAUAAGCGGAGGA